CUGGCACCCCUAGUGACGCCGGCAUUUGCCCUUGCCCACUCCACAGUGUAUAAAUUGUGCUUGCAAAAUAUAUUACAAAAUGUUUAUAUUCUAAAACUAUUACAGAGUUAUGUAAAGGGACUUAGGAGGAAUCACUGAAUGUAUGGAGGCCCCAUUUUCAAUUUCUGCUGUGGGAGAGAGGAAAAAUAAGAUAUUUAGUAUCUAAGAUUAGAAAACUACACUCACAUGCUGAUAAUGGGUGUUGAAAAUUAGGUGACUUGGCUUUUACAAGAAUGCAGGGAAUCAGGUAACUUUAGUUAUUUAUACUAUAAUCACCAUUAUCUGUUUAAAGGAUCCAUUUAUUUAAAAUCAGGCACUCUAUAUUCAUUAAGGUUUAUGAAUUA
rnacentral:lncRNA from 1 species